rnacentral:rRNA from 1 species
GACGAACCGAGCGAACGUUGUUCGGAAUCACUGGGCUUAAAGGGCGCGUAGGCGGGCAAGCAAGUCCGGGGUGAAAGCUUUCGGCUCAACCGGAAAAGGGCCUUGGAUACUGCUUGUCUUGAGGGAGGUAGGGGCCCGUGGAACUUCCGGUGGAGCGGUGAAAUGCGUUGAUAUCGGAAGGAACGCCGGUGGCGAAGGCGGUUCUCUGGGCCUUACCUGACGCUGAGGAGCGAAAGCAUGGGGAGCAAACAGG